rnacentral:lncRNA from 1 species
CUCAGGAUGUUUGCGCUUUUUGCAUGGGGACGACUCCGCGACGUCGGGGACGACUCCGUAGCUUUAUCACCGAAAAACAAGUCCUCUGGAAUCCCCUGAGAGAGUCGACUCCGCGCUUUCUGGGGACAUCUCGGGAAGUUUGCUUUUUAUGCGUGGGGACGACUCCGCGUCCUUUGGAGACGACUCGCGCGCAUCCCUUGAAAUCGGCCUUUCUGCCGUCUCUGAGAGAGUCGACUCCGCAAAGUCGGGAGUCGGCUCCGACCCUGCGAGACGCCUCGCCAGGUGCCGGGGACGUCUCCAGACGUGCCAAUUCUUCCUGUUCGUGCCAGAGACGUCUCUGGGACAACCCGG